AACGAACGCUGGCGGCAUGCCUAACACAUGCAAGUCGAACGAGACCUUCGGGUCUAGUGGCGCACGGGUGCGUAACGCGUGGGAAUCUGCCCUUGGGUUCGGAAUAACUCAGAGAAAUUUGAGCUAAUACCGGAUGAUGACGAAAGUCCAAAGAUUUAUCGCCCAGGGAUGAGCCCGCGUAAGAUUAGCUUGUUGGUGGGGUAAUGGCCUACCAAGGCGACGAUCUUUAGCUGGUCUGAGAGGAUGAUCAGCCACACUGGGACUGAGACACGGCCCAGACUCCUACGGGAGGCAGCAGUGGGGAAUAUUGGACAAUGGGCGCAAGCCUGAUCCAGCAAUGCCGCGUGAGUGAUGAAGGCCUUAGGGUUGUAAAGCUCUUUUACCAGGGAUGAUAAUGACAGUACCUGGAGAAUAAGACUCCGGCUAACUCCGUG
rnacentral:rRNA from 1 species